GACGAACGCUGGCGGCGUGCCUAAUACAUGCAAGUCGAACGCAGUGGGGACGGGUGAGUAACACGUGGGUAACCUCCCAUCAGAGGGGAUAACACUUGGAAACUGGUGCUAAACCGAUCCUGAUGGAUGAACCCGCGGUGCAUUAGCUAGUUGGUGGGGUAACGGCUCACCAAGGCCACGAUGCAUAGCCGACCUGAGAGGGUGAUCUGCCACACUGUGACUGAGACACGGCCCAGACUCCUACGGGAGGCAGCAGUAGGGAAUCUGCGGCAAUGGGCGCAAGUCUUACCGAGCCACGCCGCGUGAUUGAAGAAGGUUUUCGGAUCGUAAAGCUCUGUUGUUAGAGAAGCGGUAUCUAACCAGGAAGCCACGGCUAACUACGUGCCAGCAGCCGCGGUAAUAC
rnacentral:rRNA from 1 species